GGCAGCUUUAGGCAGCAGCCUAUGGGCGGCGACCACUGGAGGGCGGCACCGCACACUGAAUGAGAGAGAGAGAACGCUUUCUUUAACAUCCUGCCUCGCCUCAGCUCAGAUAACCUCCUCCUCUUCUGUAAGAGACGAGGAGCAGCCAGGGAUGUCGCCUAAUUGUCAGCACCCGCACCGAGUCUGUACAGUUAAACUAAAAUCAUGCAGCCACUGGACAGACAUCAUCUCCACCAUCAUCUGGGACAAACAGGAAAAGCAGCCGGCUCUGUGUGUGAUCACCUAUACACUGAGUCUCUUGGGGGCGUAUCCAGAUCUCUUGUUACUUGGCCUAGUUUUUUGACAGCAUAGCCGUGAGACUACAAUUAACACCUGUGCUAUCUGCUAUCCAGUGUAUGUUCUUACUUUCAUAACAUUAUUCGAUUUGCAAUAUCCCACUGUGAGACCUACA